rnacentral:misc_RNA from 1 species
GAUGAAGAACGUAGCGAAAUGCGAUAAGUAAUGUGAAUUGCAGAAUUCAGUGAAUCAUCGAGUCUUUGAACGCACAUUGCGCCCCCUGGUAUUCCGGGGGGCAUGCCUGUCCGAGCGUCAUUGCUGCCCUCAAGCACGGCUUGUGUGUUGGGCCUCCGUCCUCCUCCCGGGGGACGGGCCCGAAAGGCAGCGGCGGCACCGCGUCCGGUCCUCGAGCGUAUGGGGCUUCGUCACCCGCUCUUGUAGGCCCGGCCGGCGCUUGCCGACACAUCAAUCUUUUUUCCAGGUUGACCUCGGAUCAGGUAGGGAUACCCGCUGAACUUAAGCAUAUCAAUAACGGAGGA